rnacentral:rRNA from 1 species
UACGUAGGUGGCGAGCGUUAUCCGGAAUUAUUGGGCGUAAAGAGCGCGCAGGUGGUUGAUUAAGUCUGAUGUGAAAGCCCACGGCUUAACCGUGGAGGGUCAUUGGAAACUGGUCGACUUGAGUGCAGAAGAGGGAAGUGGAAUUCCAUGUGUAGUGGUGAAAUGCGUAGAGAUAUGGAGGAACACCAGUGGCGAAGGCGGCUUCCUGGUCUGUAACUGACACUGAGGCGCGAAAGCGUGGGGAGCAAACAGGAUUAGAUACCCCCGUA